rnacentral:hammerhead_ribozyme from 1 species
GCACUGCUGAGGAGUCCCAUAAUAGGACGAAACGACCGUCCGGUGC